rnacentral:lncRNA from 1 species
GGUGGGAGCCAGAAGGCGAGCACCUGGAAAGAACAUAUAUCAAUGAAGAGAAGGGAUCCCUUUAUCAGCAAGACCUGGAGAACUGGGUUGUUGAUAGCCCUCUUCUUUGUUUGAGCAGUUUUCAGUCUGGGGUCCGAGCAAUGAGCAAAAGAAACACCAACUUGGGCUGGAAAGAUGGCUCAGCGGGUAAGAGCACCGACUGCUCUUCCAACGGUCCUGAGUUCAAAUCCCAGCAACCACAUGGUGGCUCACAACCAUCCCUCGUAACAAAUCUGACUCCUGGAGUGUCUGAAGAUGGCUACAGUGUUCUUACACAUAAUAAAGACCACAGAGCAGGAACCCUCGAGGCUCUGGGAAAGAACACUGGCUUGGGAAGAUUCUGUGACCUCUCUUCAACCGGAACAGGUCUAAGCCUUGGUUUUUCUCUCUGGAACGGAAGUUCCCAUUCCAAGAAUGAGAAGGAAAUGUGUUUGGCAUGGGGUGGUGGCCCACAGCUCCUCUUGUCAAGCUGAGGAGCAGCUGCCAUGGAGCCAGAGGACAUCCUGUUCUCAAGAAAUAAAAACAAGAGUGAAGAC